UCCUCUGAAGGUGCCCAUUCAAGGAUGUCUCCCUGCUUCAGCUAGACUGGUUUGCCCACCCUCUAGGUAUCAGUUGUCUUGCAGUUGGUGUUGGUGCUCUUUUCUCCAAAGGAUCUUUCUUCCUUUAUGCUGAAGACAAGGGCUCUAUAAAUCUCAAGGCACCAGAGGAAUUUGUUGUCCUUUCAGAAAUGUGAGUAAUUACAAGUCAAAAUGAAUUACCUUGGAGAAGUCAAACUGGAUCACUAAUCAUUGCC
rnacentral:lncRNA from 1 species